rnacentral:rRNA from 1 species
CGGCGGGCGGGUGAGUAACACGUGGAUAACCUACCUAUAAGACUGGGAUAACUUCGGGAAACCGGAGCUAAUACCGGAUAAUAUAUUGAACCGCAUGGUUCAAUAGUGAAAGACGGUUUUGCUGUCACUUAUAGAUGGAUCCGCGCCGCAUUAGCUAGUUGGUAAGGUAACGGCUUACCAAGGCGACGAUGCGUAGCCUACCUGAGAGGGUGAUCGGCCACACUGGAACUGAGACACGGUCCAG